CAUUCCGGGGAAGCCCCCAUGUGCUCACCGCUUGCCCACUCAUUGUGCACCCACUAGACGGGACGUGAGACCCUAUUCGGACCCUUUGACCCAGAUUAUGGCCUAUACUCGAGGACAGCGUACCGCCCCCAACCUUUCCAAAUGACCACGUCCUACCCGGGCGCCGGAUAGUCGAACAACCACCCCAUUACCGGAUGGUUCCGCUGCUGCCCAUCGGCCGGACUCUCCCGCUGGCCGGUGUGACCCUGACUCUGUGCCGGGUCUGAGGAUGCCCUCCGUCGUCACCCCUUAUAACGUGUUACCCGCUUUCGGACUACGUCGCUGCGGCGCACUCCCUACUGCCGGAAGCCCAACAUUUGGAGAAAGUCGUCCCUGCUUCGCUCUCACUGCCAUGGACGUCUUCUUCGUGGCCGGUUGAUGCACGGUCGUCGGCGCCAUUAUGCAUCCCACGCUCGCAACAGGCCUUAAUGACCCGCAUUUCUCGAGCAUCCGCCAAACAGCGCAGCAGGCACUUUUGAACCCCGAGUUGGGGUUCGAACGCCCGCUAUGCCCGUCUGAACUCAUGACGUCCCCUCUGACCUUAAGGACCACAUCGCCACUUUACGCGUCUAUAGUCCUCCUUGUGGCCACCGCUUCCGCCCAGAGACCCGUCAUUGACUGCGACUCCUCGCUUUCGCACCCAUCGCUUGUCCUAAUCUAUGGGACCAUCAGGUGCGGCAUUUGCCACCCGCGAUCCACACCCAAAGGAAGGUGCCCUAGGCACGGCAUCGAUUGCGUAAUUCGCGGGGCGGACCCCUCAUGCCGGCGUUCCGAUUUUGAGUUUCCUUAACUGCCCCCGGGCGUGUUCGCCGCCUCGUACACCUAAUUAAGCUACGUUGCGCUUCUUGGAAUGGACCCAAACUGUAUAUGGCCUUUCGGCAUCUCUAUGCCGGGGGGAACACCAGCCAUAUGUCCACCACGUACCGACAGCAGUCGAGCACAGCACUCUACAACCCAAUUCAGGGCGUUGCUCGCGUUGGGAACAGGACACAACGGUCGCGCAUUACCGCCCCUGAGCGUCCUCUGACGGCCCCAGUUGAGCCUCCUUCCACCCCUGCUGCAGUUCAGUAGUACGGGGAAUACAGGUCCCGAAGUGUGUACGAUGUUACCGGCCAUGUCUCCCGACGCUAUGGCACUCCACCUCGCUUAGGGAAUUUCGGCCAGAGUCAAGCCUAGCCCCAGACGUUGAGCUGGGGCACUUCAGCCUCAGCGAUCAUUAGCGUCUAGUCGUUGCGACGCCACUUAUGCAAGGGCCCGGAACAUGUGUGGCGGGCAGUGCAGUACUUUCAGCCAUUGUGGGCUUCGGCCACCGGAUUGGGA
rnacentral:rRNA from 1 species